rnacentral:rRNA from 1 species
UACAGAGGCCUCAAGCGUUGUUCGGAAUUACUGGGCGUAAAGGGAGUGUAGGUUGCGAUGUAAGUCAGAUGUGAAAGCCCUGGGCUUAACCCGGGAACUGCAUUUGAUACUGCGUUGCUUGAGUGCGAGAGAGGAAAGGGGAAUUCCCGGUGUAGGAGUGAAAUCCGUAGAUAUCGGGAGGAAUACCAAUGGCGAAGGCACCUUUCUGGCUCGCAACUGACGCUGAGACUCGAAAGCAUGGGUAGCAAACAGG